GGGCUUGCGGUGCUAAUACAUGCAAGUAGAACGCUGAAGAGAGGAGCUUGCUCUUCUUGGAUGAGUUGCGAACGGGUGAGUAACGCGUAGGUAACCUGCCUUGUAGCGGGGGAUAACUAUUGGAAACGAUAGCUAAUACCGCAUAACAAUGGAUGACACAUGUCAUUUAUUUGAAAGGGGCAAUUGCUCCACUACAAGAUGGACCUGCGUUGUAUUAGCUAGUAGGUGAGGUAAUGGCUCACCUAGGCGACGAUACAUAGCCGACCUGAGAGGGUGAUCGGCCACACUGGGACUGAGACACGGCCCAGACUCCUACGGGAGGCAGCAGUAGGGAAUCUUCGGCAAUGGGGGCAACCCUGACCGAGCAACGCCGCGUGAGUGAAGAAGGUUUUCGGAUCGUAAAGCUCUGUUGUAAGUCAAGAACGGGUGUGAGAGUGGAAAGUUCACACUGUGACGGUAGCUUACCAGAAAGGGACGGCUAACUACGUGCCAGCAGCCGCGGUAAUACGUAGGUCCCGAGCGUUGUCCGGAUUUAUUGGGCGUAAAGCGAGCGCAGGCGGUUUGAUAAGUCUGAAGUUAAAGGCUGUGGCUCAACCAUAGUUCGCUUUGGAAACUGUCAAACUUGAGUGCAGAAGGGGAGAGUGGAAUUCCAUGUGUAGCGGUGAAAUGCGUAGAUAUAUGGAGGAACACCGGUGGCGAAAGCGGCUCUCUGGUCUGUAACUGACGCUGAGGCUCGAAAGCGUGGGGAGCGAACAGGAUUAGAUACCCUGGUAGUCCACGCCGUAAACGAUGAGUGCUAGGUGUUGGAUCCUUUCCGGGAUUCAGUGCCGCAGCUAACGCAUUAAGCACUCCGCCUGGGGAGUACGACCGCAAGGUUGAAACUCAAAGGAAUUGACGGGGGCCCGCACAAGCGGUGGAGCAUGUGGUUUAAUUCGAAGCAACGCGAAGAACCUUACCAGGUCUUGACAUCCCGAUGCUAU
rnacentral:rRNA from 1 species